UAAUGGCGCUUCUAAACGGGCCAUGUUUUGCUGCAAUUGAUGGCUGCAACACAUGGCCCGGCAACAUUGCAAACAAUGUCAGCCACACUAUGCAAUGUUGCAGUAAUGUCCCGGCCAUAUAGCCAAACAUGUUUUGUGUAGCCACUUAUGGCCGAUGUGGCCCCGAUGGGUUGCCGAACGAUCGCUAGGCUAUCGAAUUCAACUGCAAUAUUGCACAGCCAGUUCUAUUGUUGUUUCAGUCACUCUCUUUGUUAUGGCAUAGUGUAUCCUUUUCUACGCGACAUGAAGUUUGCUAUGAGUGAAGUGUGCCUGUUGCUAUAUUCUGUGUUUUGCGAUCAGCUGGAUUUUGACAACUACGUAAAAAUGGUUACUGGUCUAACAAGACAAUUACUGAUUUUAUUGAAGAAAUACAUUUGCACCCCGAGUUGUGGGAUAUAAAAACCGGCUUACAAAAAGAUAGAAAUUCUAAAAAUGAUGCAUGGAAUGAAAUCGCUGAAAAGUUUGGCAUAACAAGUAACGAGGCUUACAAAAAAUUCCGAAGCCUAAGAACUUACGCAAAUAAUGAGGAGAAAAAGAAGGAAAGUGGUAGUGCUGGCGGUAAAACAGUAAAGUGGUUUGCUUAAGAUGCGAUAUCGUUUCUCUUUACUCAAAAUACCACGAAUAUAGGAUUACAUAGUGAAAAUGAAAACUUCUAACGCGACUGAAACUACAUACUGACAUCAGUGCUGACCCACGUGAAGUCGUAGAAUCACAAACAACCGACACUUUGGAAGCCGUCGAUACUUCUCCAAAACCACGUACUAAAAGGCUCAAAUUAUUAUACGCGAUGCUGGCGAAAAUAAAAACGAAUAUGCUGCUACUAGAUACCUAUUAUUAUUAAAUUUAAAAAGUACAUAAUAGUUACUACCUAUGCGUAACAUAUUUAAUAAACCUAUGUUAACUUA